rnacentral:rRNA from 1 species
CAUGCAAGCCGAGCGGUAGAAGAUCUUCGGAUCUUUGAGAGCGGCGUACGGGUGCGGAACACGUGUGCAACCUGCCUUUAUCAGGGGGAUAGCCUUUCGAAAGGAAGAUUAAUACCCCAUAAUAUAAUGAGUGGCAUCACUUAUUAUUGAAAACUCCGGUGGAUAGAGAUGGGCACGCGCAAGAUUAGAUAGUUGGUAGGGUAACGGCCUACCAAGUCAGUGAUCUUUAGGGGGCCUGAGAGGGUGAUCCCCCACACUGGUACUGAGACACGGACCAGACUCCUACGGGAGGCAGCAGUGAGGAAUAUUGGACAAUGGGUGAGAGCCUGAUCCAGCCAUCCCGCGUGAAGGACGACGGCCCUAUGGGUUGUAAACUUCUUUUGUAUAGGGAUAAACCUUUCCACGUGUGGAAAGCUGAAGGUACUAUACGAAUAAGCACCGGCUAACUCCGUGCCAGCAGCCGCGGUAAUACGGAGGGUGCAAGCGUUAUCCGGAUUUAUUGGGUUUAAAGGGUCCGUAGGCGGAUCUGUAAGUCAGUGGUGAAAUCUCAUAGCUUAACUAUGAAACUGCCAUUGAUACUGCAGGUCUUGAGUAAAGUAGAAGUGGCUGGAAUAAGUAGUGUAGCGGUGAAAUGCAUAGAUAUUACUUAGAACACCAAUUGCGAAGGCAGGUCACUAUGUUUUAACUGACGCUGAUGGACGAAAGCGUGGGGAGCGAACAGGAUUAGAUACCCUGGUAGUCCACGCCGUAAACGAUGCUAACUCGUUUUUGGGUUUUCGGAUUCAGAGACUAAGCGAAAGUGAUAAGUUAGCCACCUGGGGAGUACGUUCGCAAGAAUGAAACUCAAAGGAAUUGACGGGGGCCCGCACAAGCGGUGGAUUAUGUGGUUUAAUUCGAUGAUACGCGAGGAACCUUACCAAGGCUUAAAUGGGAAUUGACAGGUUUAGAAAUAGACUUUUCUUCGGACAAUUUUCAAGGUGCUGCAUGGUUGUCGUCAGCUCGUGCCGUGAGGUGUUAGGUUAAGUCCUGCAACGAGCGCAACCCCUGUCACUAGUUGCCAUCAUUCAGUUGGGGACUCUAGUGAGACUGCCUACGCAAGUAGARAGGAAGGUGGGGAUGACGUCAAAUCAUCACGGCCCUUACGCCUUGGGCC